GUGAGGAAUAUUGCGCAAUGGAGGCAACUCUGACGCAGCCAUGCCGCGUGCAGGAAGAAGGCGCUACGCGUUGUAAACUGCUUUUAACCGGGAAGAAACCCCAGGACGUGUCCUGGGUUGACGGUACCGGAGGAAUAAGCACCGGCUAACUUCGUGCCAGCAGCCGCGGUAAUACGAAGGGUGCAAGCGUUAUCCGGAUUCAUUGGGUUUAAAGGGUGCGUAGGCGGAGCGUUAAGUCAGUGGUGAAAUCCUACAGCUUAACUGUAGACUUGCCAGUGAUUCUGGCGCUCUUGAGAGCGCUUGAAGUGGGCGGAAUGUGCCGUGUAGCGGUGAAAUGCUUAGAUAUGGCACAGAACACCAAUUGCGAAGGCAGCUCACUAAGGCGAUACUGACGCUGAGGCACGAAAGCGUGGGGAUCGAACAGGAUUAGAAACCCUUGUAGUCC
rnacentral:rRNA from 1 species